AACGAACGCUGGCGGCAUGCCUAACACAUGCAAGUCGAACGAGACCUUCGGGUCUAGUGGCGCACGGGUGCGUAACGCGUGGGAACCUGCCCUUAGGUUCGGAAUAACUCCCCGAAAGGGGUGCUAAUACCGGAUAAUGUCUUCGGACCAAAGAUUUAUCGCCUUUGGAUGGGCCCGCGUUGGAUUAGCUAGUUGGUAGGGUAAAAGCCUACCAAGGCGACGAUCCAUAGCUGGUCUGAGAGGAUGAUCAGCCACACUGGGACUGAGACACGGCCCAGACUCCGACGGGAGGCAGCAGUGGGGAAUAUUGGACGCUGGGCGAAAGCCUGAUCCAGCAAUGCCGCGUGAGUGAUGAAGGCGUUAGGGUUGUAAAGCUCUUUUACCCGGGAUGAUAAUGACAGUACCGGGAGAAUAAGCACCGGCUAACUCCGUG
rnacentral:rRNA from 1 species